rnacentral:rRNA from 1 species
ACGAACGCUGGCGGCGUGCUUAACACAUGCAAGUCAAGGGGGCCCGCAAGGGUAACCGGCGAACGGGUGCGUAACACGUGAGCAAUCUGCCUAGAUGUGGGGGAUAGCCGGCCCAACGGCCGGGUAAUACCGCAUACGCUCACCGGGUGGCAUCACUUGGUGAGGAAACAUUCGUGGCAUCUAGAGGAGCUCGCGGCCUAUCAGCUAGUUGGUGGGGUAACGGCCUACCAAGGCAUUGACGGGUAGCUGGUCUGAGAGGAUGGCCAGCCACAUUGGGACUGAGAUACGGCCCAGACUCCUACGGGAGGCAGCAGUGGGGAAUAUUGCGCAAUGGCCGAAAGGCUGACGCAGCGACGCCGCGUGGGGGAUGAAGCAUUUCGGUGUGUAAACCCCUGUGGCCCGGGACGAACAACUGGUUUCGACCAGUCUGACGGUACCGGGUGAGGAAGCACCGGCUAACUCCGU